GGAAUUUUCCGCAAUGGGCGAAAGCCUGACGGAGCAACGCCGCGUGAGGGAUGAAGGCCUCUGGGCUGUAAAUCUCUUUUAUCAAGGAAGAAGAUCUGACAGUACUUGAUGAAUAAGCCACGGCUAAUUCCGUGCCAGCAGCCGCGGUUAUACGGGAGUGGCAAGCGUUAUCCGGAAUUAUUGGGCGUAAAGCGUCCGCAGGCGGCCCUACAAGUCUGCUGUUAAAAAGUGGAGCUUAACUCCAUCAUGGCAGUGGAAACUGUUGGGCUCGAGUGUGGUAGGGGCAGAGGGAAUUCCCGGUGUAGCGAUGAAAUGCGUAGAUAUCGGGAAGAACACCAGUGGCGAAGGCGCUCUGCUGGGCCAUCACUGACGCUCAUGGACGAAAGCCAGGGGAGCGAAAGGGAUUAGAUACCCCUGUAGUCCUGGCCGUAAACGAUGAACACUAGGUGUCGGGGGAAUCGACCCCUCCGGUGUCGUAGCCAACGCGUUAAGUGUUCCGCCUGGGGAGUACGCACGCAAGUGUGAAACUCAAAGGAAUUGAC
rnacentral:rRNA from 1 species